UCUUUAGUUGUGACAUACAAACUAUUAGUUGUGGCAUGCGGGAUCUAGUUCCCCCAGCAGGGAUCGAACCCGGGCCCCCUGCGUUGGGCGUAUGGAGUCUUAGCCCCUGGAUCACCGGGGAAGUCCCGCUCUGCCUUAAUUUCUACAUGUAUAUUCACAUACAUAAAUAUCUAAUUUAUCAAUAAGGUCUAUUCAUACCACACCACAC